CAAGGAGUAGUUUAGUUGGAACGUUAGCUUUGGGAGCUAGCGGCGGGGGUUAAAAUCCCCCCUCUUUGA
rnacentral:tRNA from 1 species